CCAAAAUUAGUCAGAUGCUUAACUGACUGAGCCACCCAGGGCCAAUGUGAUUUAACAUACACUGUUCCAGAAUUGGUGAAGACUUCACGAGAUUGCAGGAUGGUGGCUUGGAGGAGGUCAUUCUACUAGUAGUGACAGGACUAGAAGCCAGGUCUCCUGUUGCUUAGUCCCAUACUCUAUCCAAAUCAUCUACCCAUGAUGUGCCUAGGUGACUGUCAGUUGAGCAUCCGACUCUUGGUUUGGCUCAGGUCAUGAUCCUGGGGUCACGGGAUCCAGCUUUGCAUGAAGUUCUACAUUGAGCGUGGAGCCUGCUUGGGCUUCUCUCUCCCUCUGCCCCGUUCUCUGAAAAAAAUAAUAAUAAUAAUAAUAAUCUACCCAGCCAGUAAUGUACUAAAAAGAUCAAAACCAGAGUUUUUUUCAUACAUUGAAUAGAGAAAAUAUUAACUGGUCUAGAAGCUUAGUAGUUUCUUUUAUAGAAACUCAAUUGUAGUCAGAAACUGCAUUUUGCAUUCCUCUCCAUGAUGAGUAUGCAGUAAGCAUGUAUUGUUUAUUUAUUAAACAGAGACUUAAAAGUGAAA